rnacentral:rRNA from 1 species
CUACGGGCGGCUCCAGUGAGGAGUAUUGCACAAUGGGGGGAACCCUGAUGCAGCAACGCCACGUGGAGGAUGACGCAUUUCGGUGUGUAAACUCCUUUUAUAUGUCAAGAAAAUGACGGUAGCAUAUGAAUAAGCACCGGCUAACUCCGUGCCAGCAGCCGCGGUAAUACGGAGGGUGCAAGCGUUACUCGGAAUCACUGGGCGUAAAGGACGCGUAGGCGGGUUGGAAAGUCAGGUGUGAAAUCCUACAGCUUAACUGUAGAACUGCACUUGAAACUUCUAAUCUAGAGUAUGGGAGGGGGAGAUGGAAUUAGUGGUGUAGGGGUAAAAUCCGUAGAUAUCACUAGGAAUACCUAAAGCGAAGGCGAUCUCCUGGAACAUUACUGACGCUAAGGCGUGAAAGCGUGGGGAGCAAACAGGAUUAGAUACCCCCGUAGUC